rnacentral:rRNA from 1 species
AAUCUGGGGUCGCCGACCUCCGAGUUGUAAUUUGGAGAGGCAUCUUCGGGGUGGGGCGCCGGCCCCAUGUUCCUUGGAACAGGACGUCGCAGAGGGUGAGAAUCCCGUGCCAGGCCGGCCGCCUCCGCCCCAUCGAGGGGCCUUCGACGAGUCGAGUUGUUUGGGAAUGCAGCUCCAAGUGGGUGGUAAAUUUCAUCUAAAGCUAAAUACCGGCGGGAGACCGAUAGCGCACAAGUAGAGUGAUCGAAAGAUGAAAAGCACUUUGAAAAUAGAGUCAAAAAGUACGUGAAAUUGUUGAAAGGGAAGCGCUUGAGACCAGACCCAGACCCGGGCAAACACCGCGCCCCUCGGGGCCGUGCAAUUGCCCGUGGCUGGGCCAGCAUCAGUCGGCCCGGCGGGACAAAUGCGAGGGGAAUGUGUCUCCCCUCGGGGAGUGUUUAUUAGCCCCUCGCCCAAUGCCGCCCGAGCCGACUGUGGACCGCGCCUCGGCUAGGAUGCUGGCUUAAUGGCCUUCAGCGACCCGUCUUGAAACACGGACCAAGGAGUCUAACAUCUAUGCGAGUGUUUGGGCUUCAAACCCUUGCGCGGAAUGAAAGUGAGCGGAGGUGGGAACCCCCCCGCGGGGCGCACCAUCGACCGAUCCUGAUGUCCUCGGAUGGAUUUGAGUA